rnacentral:snRNA from 1 species
AAAUAAGAGAGCAAUCAGUUUGCAGCAUCUGUCACCUCAUUGAUUACCAAAUAUUGUUUAAGUUGUCUGAUUCCCUAGGCAGAUGUUGUCCUUCUCCCUCACAGCUCCAUGUGAGCUUUUCCUGAAUUGUAAAAGAUUUAUAUUUGCUCUAAUGAAAUUUUGUAAAUAAGUCCACAGUUUUUAUUCUAAUUGUAUAUCACUUCAUUAAACAUUUGGUGAACGUUUAAGUUCAAG